ACAGGGGGAGGAACAGCCUGGCAGGAUGUGUAUCUGACAGGGGGACGAACAGCCGGGCAGGAUGUCUAUCCGACAGGGGGAGGCACAGCCCAGACAUUAUAGCAGUUUUCAAGAGGAUGUGGUGAUGAAUUCAUCUCUCUCUCUCUACCCUGCUGUAGAAGGCAGCUGGUACUUUCAGUACAGUGUAGAAAGAUGUCUCCGACAACAUGUUGUCUAGGCCUUUUCUUCAUCUUAUUUCCAUGUCAGUGUGGAGCAGCAGGCCCCGUAGUGCUUCAGCCCAGACAGCUCCUCACCCUUCCUGGUAACACGACCACCUCCAGUCCAGUCACCCUGCAGUGCUCCCUGGGUCCAGGCUUCAGCAUGCCCAGCUACACCAUGAUGUGGUACCGACAGGUCCGCUAUGGAGGCCCAGUGGAGUUCCUCAUUAAGGAGUACGAGAAAACCCGGGGGCGAUACAAAGAGGACCUGGACACAUCGGGGAACAGGUUCAUCCUGCAGAUUUCUGAGCUGGUUGUGGAGGACAGUGGUGUCUACUACUGCGCUGCUAGUCACGGUGAAACAACAGCCUGAAGAGCAGUACAAAUACAACACUCCUCUGUUUACUAUACACGACGUGGGUCUGAGUCCCAAAUGGUGCCCUGUUCCCUAUAUAGUCCACUACAUUUGAUCAGGAUCCUAUGGGCUCUGGUCUAAAGUAGUGCACUACAUUUGAUCAGGAUCCUAUGGGCUCUGGUCUAAAGUAGUGCACUACAUUUGAUCAAGAUCCUAUGGGCUCUGGUCUAAAGUAGUGCACUACAUUUGAUCAGGAUCCUAUGGGCUCUGGUCUAAAGUAGUGCACUACAUUUGAUCAGGAUCCUAUGGGCUCUGGUCUAAAGUAGUGCACUACAUUUGAUCAAGAUCCUAUGGGCUCUGGUCUAAAGUAGUGCACUAUAUAGGGAACAGGGUGCCGUUUGGGACUCAGCCUAGUCUCUCUGUCUGUUUGUCUGUCUCCGUCUGUCUGUCACACAGAUGGCUCAGAGCAGGAAGACAUUGUCGGCUGUGGCUCUUCUGGUAAUCAUAAUAAACCGUCUGUCUAACCAAA